UAAUGUCUGGGAAACUGCCUGAUGGAGGGGGAUAACUACUGGAAACGGUAGCUAAUACCGCAUAACGUCGCAAGACCAAAGAGGGGGACCUUCGGGCCUCUUGCCAUCAGAUGUGCCCAGAUGGGAUUAGCUAGUGGGUGGGGUAAUGGCUCACCUAGGCGACGAUCCCUAGCUGGUCUGAGAGGAUGACCAGCCACACUGGAACUGAGACACGGUCCA
rnacentral:rRNA from 1 species